UUCAACUUUACAACAGAGGAUGGGAAUGACGGAACCAAGUUUCCUGAAACUAUUCCGUCAAUACUCCUGUAUGCUAUCAAGACUGACAGGUCUUGCGGUUUGAAGCACAGGUGGAGUCGGCAGAACGACGGCUGAGGCCAUUCCCUUGGAAAAGGUAUUCCAACCGAUAUGCCGCAUGAAUGAAAA
rfam:Virgibacillus necropolis strain LMG 19488 chromosome, complete genome.